UUUAGCUGCCUUGAGUCUUCUUACAGUUGAGAAAAGUGAAGUAUAAAUCCAAACUCUUCCUCUCAGAGCUGAUUGAGAAAACAGUUCUUUUUCAGGGCACGAGGCAGGCUUUCACUUCUAAGUGACAGAAACCAGUUCAGGAGGCUCUGCUCUCAGUGCUGUUUGGAACAAAACUGAAAAAGGAAACACCCUUUUUUGUUUGUUAAAUACGGAGUUAAUGUGGUUUUCUUCAGCAUCCCAAGAAAAGUUAAUGCUGCUGUUACUGAUCUGGGGGAGGUCUACUUCGAGAAGGGGAAGUAUGUGAAACUUAACAUAGUAAUAUUCUUUCUAUUCUUGAUGUCAAUUUUCCACUGGGGGCAUCUCACUGCAUCCCUGUGUUGUACACCCAUUUUGUGUGAGAAACUUAAACAACCAAGCACUGGACUAAUUCACACUUGAACUGGUCUGCAAAAUCCACCUGU